CGGGGUGCAGCAGGCGCGAAACCUUAGCAAUGUGCGAAAGCACGACUGGGUCAGUCCGAGUGAUUCCUGAUAAAGGAGUCUUUUGCUUGUCCUAAAAGCACAGGUGAAUAAGGGGUGGGCAAGUCUGGUGUCAGCCGCCGCGGUAAUACCAGCACCUCGAGUGGUCAGGACGUUUAUUGGGCCUAAAGCAUCCGUAGCCGGCUCUGCAAGUCUUCGGUUAAAUCCACCUGCUCAACAGAUGGGCUGCUGGAGAUACUACAGAGCUAGGGAGUGGGAGAGGCAGACGGUAUUCAGUGGGUAGGGGUAAAAUCCUCUGAUCCAUUGAGGACCACCAGUGGCGAAGGCGGUCUGCCAGAACACGUUCGACGGUGAGGGAUGAAAGCUGGGGGAGCAAACCGGAUUAGAUACCCGGGUAGUCCCAGCUGUAAACGAUGCAAACUCGGUGAUGCAUUGGCUUAUGGCCAAUGCAGUGCCGCAGGGAAGCCGUUAAGUUUGCCGCCUGGGAAGUACGGACGCAAGUCUGAAACUUAAAGGAAUUGGCGGGGGAGCAC
rnacentral:rRNA from 1 species